ACCGACAAGAAUAGGAGCGACACGCUAUUUUCUCAUCUUCUCCGGUAAGCUGGACUGCUGGAGCAAACCAUGGUGGGCGAAGGGGGUGAACUUGGCCGCGGCCCCUUCCUCCGGGCACCUUCUCUCUCGCGGAUGCAUCAUUGAGCAGUCGAAUAACUCAGUCUCGCACUUCCUCGCCGGACCAGAUUGAUGGCAAGCGGCUGUCCGGUGAAGUUGGCGGGCAGGUGGAGCGGCUGGACCGUGGAUCGGCGGUCAUCCAAGCGAGGACUGGACGCUCAACGGCCCCGACGACCGCCGCCGCAAAACUUUCUUUUCCCUCUCGUUCAGGGACUUCAGGGACAAGAAGCGGCUAGAGAUUCUACAUGCAGGAAUUCAUAGAUCAUUAGAUUAGGAAUUCGUGCACUUGUUCAAUUGAUCCUUUUGCUUCGGCCUCUAGGUUACAAUUUUGCUUCAUCUAUCUGUGAUUGAUCUUUGAUGCGCUUUAGUUUAUUUUCUGGAUUGCAAAGUCGAUGAUUGAUCUGUUAAAACCUUCCACAACUAUAAUAUCUGUCUCUAUCUCUAUUACCUAACAAGGAGAAGAUUGUUCCGUUUUCCGCCACUCCGUCGUUCAGUUUCGUCGCUUCAUCCAUUCCUCCGAUCGCUCGCUCGCGCUCACCUCUUGGCCAAUGCGCUGUUGCCCUGGCCCAGCCAUACCCGCUCACACCGCCAGAAAAUCAUGCCCCGCCCCGAAGGCGACCUCAUCGCCUCCAUCUCACCCCCAAUAUUCUGCCACCGCCGCCCCAGACAAUUUUCACGGAGUUGCUCGUCGUUGCAGGAGCGCGACGCCAUCUCCACCUGCAGGUUCCGUCGCUUUCGCAAUAGCCCAUGCCCACGUACUCGGUGCAGGAAGGGAACGUGGAUGGGCGCCGCCCCGACGCUGACGCCGCCGUUGUCCAAACCAUGACCUGAUGGAGGAAAGGCAGGCAUUUCUUAGGCGCUCGCCGUUCUCAACACCUCACGCUCACUAAGCCUGCCGCAUCACACUUCUUCGAUCGCAUGGUGCGUGUGGAAUUUGCACUGUCGAUUGCGAUUGCAGACCAGUGAGGAUGUGGUGGUGAAGGAUGUUGUCGUUGCGGGAGAAUGGGAGGAUCUUUGCAGCUUUCUCUGAGGCACGUAUUUUUGUGUUCUAGAUGAAUUUAUUGUUCGCUUAAUCUCUGAAGUCUUUUCUUGUACUGUUCAACUAUGAUUCCAAAGUUUGAAGAACAGUAGCAUCAUGCGCUGAAUGAGGCAGCAUUCUUACCGGAUUUGAAAUUAUUUCCAGUACCAGCCACUAGAAGUAGAUGAUAAUAAUCUAUUUCCAAGAUGUCGGAUCUACCUUGGUCUCGCAAUAUCUGCUACUCAACGAAACAGCAACAAGAGAAGAAGAAAGAUAGAAGAGAAGAUGAAUAGAGAGAAAUGCCGAGAUCAUCAAAUUUGACGCGGCUGUCUUGGCCGGCGAGCUCCUCGUGGUGCUCCACGACGCGAUGCGGGCAAUCUGCUCGGGUGGCUAGGACUCGUUCACCAGUCCCCACAUAGGGCACCUCCCGCUCGGCUACUUUCCUAGGCUUCUCCAACGCAAAAAUCAGCAAAGCAACACUGUGUAAGCGAUGAUCCAACUUCGAGGCCACGCCGUUUCCAUAUCUGCCUCCAAACGCUUGUGCACCAAAGGCGAGCAUUUUCUCCAUCCUGCAUUAUGUUGUCUACUAUAAUUUUUCCUCUCGUCCAUUACGUCCCCAAAUGUAAGUCUAACCAUGGCCGAUUGAACUUUGUAUCUGUCAAGGAAGGCAUAAAGUUCUUGUUGGUUAGGCUGCCAAUGUCUUGCGAGUUCAUCGUGCCAACGAACCUCAAGCUCCUAGCCGUACCUCUGUCCCAGAUGUAAGAGAACUUUCUUCACCGAAGCAUGAGCAGCAUUGGCUUUGUCUGGUUAGAGAUCAGCCAUGUUGAAGUUGGAGGACAAGUGCUCCCUCCAUUAUCUGCAACCUGCACAUAAGCAACUAUUUUAUUGACAAUAUUGUUAGUUUGCAAAUCUUCUGUCAUAUAUCUUUGUAGUUGAAACUUGGAAGGAGUUCAUGAACUCGAUAAUUCAGUACUCAUUGUGUUUGUACUAUUAGUUUCCCUUCAA